rnacentral:rRNA from 1 species
GCUGGCGGCAGGCCUAACACAUGCAAGUCGAACGGGCGUAGCAAUACGUCAGUGGCGGACGGGUGAGUAACACGUGGGAAUAUGCCUUUCGGUUCGGAACAACUCGGGGAAACCCGUGCUAAUUCCGGAUACGCCCUUACGGGGAAAGAUUUAUCGCCGAAAGAUUAGCCCGCGUCCGAUUAGCUAGUUGGUGAGGUAAAGGCUCACCAAGGCACCGAUCGGUAGCUGGUUUGAGAGAACGACCAGCCACACUGGGACUGAGACACGGCCCAGACUCCUACGGGAGGCAGCAGUGGGGAAUCUUGGACAAUGGGCGCAAGCCUGAUCCAGCCAUGCCGCGUGAGUGAUGAAGGCCUUCGGGUUGUAAAACUCUUUUGGCGGGGACGAUAAUGACGGUACCCGCAGAAUAAGCUCCGGCUAACUUCGUGCCAGCAGCCGCGGUAAUACGAAGGGGGCUAGCGUUGUUCGGAAUUACUGGGCGUAAAGCGUGCGCAGGCGGCUUCUCAAGUCAGGGGUGAAAGCCCAGAGCUCAACUCUGGAAUUGCCUUUGAGACUGAGUGGCUUGAGUACGAGAGAGGUGA